AGAGUUUGAUCAUGGCUCAGGAUGAACGCUGGCGGCAUGCUUUAACACAUGCAAGUCGAACGGAAUAUUUCGCAAGAAGUAUUUAGUGGCGCACGGGUGAGUAACGCGUAAGAACCUACCCUUUAGAGGGGGAUAACAACUGGAAACGGUUGCUAAUACCCCAUAUGCUGAGGAGUGAAAGGGAGAAAUCCCGCUUAAGGAUGGGCUUGCGUCUGAUUAGCUUGUUGGUGAGGUAAAGGCUUACCAAGGCUACGAUCAGUAGCUGGUCUGAGAGGAUGAUCAGCCACACUGGGACUGAGACACGGCCCAGACUCCUACGGGAGGCAGCAGUGGGGAAUUUUCCGCAAUGGGCGAAAGCCUGACGGAGCAAUGCCGCGUGGAGGAAGAAGGCCCGUGGGUCGUAAACUCCUUUUCUCAGAGAAGAAAUUCUGNCGGUAUNUGAGGAAUAAGCAUCGGCUAACUCUGUGCCAGCAGCCGCGGUAAUACAGAGGAUGCAAGCGUUAUCCGGAAUGAUUGGCGUAAAGCGUCUGUAGGUGGCUUAUAAAGUCUACUGUUAAAUCUUAGGGCUCAACCCUAAAAAAGCAGUGGAAACUUAUAGGCUUGAGUACGGUAGGGGCAAAGG
rnacentral:rRNA from 1 species